rnacentral:lncRNA from 1 species
UGGAGUGGGGUAUCCACAGCUCAGCGCAGUGAUGGAGUGUGCAGAUGCUGCUCAUGGCCUCAAAGGCCACAUCAUUUCAGAUGGAGGUUGCAGCUGUCCUGGGGAUGUGGCCAAGGCUUUUGAGCCUCAGAGGGAAAGACAGUGGAAGUUCCUUUUAAAGGAGAUGUGGAACAUACCAUCCGAGACAUCCUAGGAGGGAUCCGCUCUACGUGUACCUAUGUGGGAGCAGCUAAGCUCAAAGAGUUGAGCAGGAGAACUACCUUCAUCCGAGUCACCCAGCAGGUGAAUCCAAUCUUCAGUGAGGCGUGCUAGACCUGAGCAGUUCUACCCUCCCAAGGCACCAGUACUCUACCAUGGGGC